CCUACGGGUGGCUGCAGUGGGGAAUAUUGGACAAUGGGGGGAACCCUGAUCCAGCCAUGCCGCGUGUGUGAAGAAGGCCCUCGGGUUGUAAAGCACUUUCAGUGAGGAAGAACGCCUGGUGGUUAAUACCCAUCAGGAAAGACAUACUCACAGAAGAAGCACCGGCUAACUCCGUGCCAGCAGCCGCGGUAAUACGGAGGGUGCGAGCGUUAAUCGGAAUUACUGGGCGUAAAGCGCGCGUAGGUGGCUUGAUAAGCCGGUUGUGAAAGCCCCGGGCUCAACCUGGGAACGGCAUCCGGAACUGUCAAGCUAGAGUGCAGGAGAGGAAGGUAGAAUUCCCGGUGUAGCGGUGAAAUGCGUAGAGAUCGGGAGGAAUACCAGUGGCGAAGGCGGCCUUCUGGACUGACACUGACACUGAGGUGCGAAAGCGUGGGUAGCAAACAGGAUUAGAUACCCCAGUAGUC
rnacentral:rRNA from 1 species